GUCCAUAGAGCGAGGAGCGGGCAGAUCCGCUCUGUUCCUCAGUUUUUCAAACAGCUCGCCUUUGCUGAUUGUUAGUGGGGUCCGGUUCCUCCAAGGUUGAGGUGGACCCCUUGGCGAUCGUUUGACGGAUGUUUGAUACACUUUGUUAUCAUGUUUAGGCUUCCAAUCCUUCCUGAAGGAAUCAGCCGCAUUGCUAGUGUAUUUGUUCGAGGAGUCAUUGUAGCUCUUUCUCUCGAACUUUUGUUUUUUGAAGCUAGUGUUCUCGAGUUCCACUAGCUUGUUUUCAUUCUGCUCUUCCACCUCAAUGAAUGACUGAGCUCGUUGGAAGAGGUCGGGUAAGGUCUCCACUUUGUGGAGUGUGAGAUUCAGGGCCAGAGGGGAGUAGGGUACCAGCCCGUUUGUGUACCCCGCAAUGGCC
rnacentral:lncRNA from 1 species